AGAGUUUGAUUAUGGCUCAGAACGUACGCUGGCGGCACGCCUAACACAUGCAAGUCGAACGAAGUAGCAAUACUUAGUGGCAGACGGGUGAGUAACAUGUAGGUAUCUACCCUUUGGCCUGGAAUAACACGAGGAAACUUGUGCUAAUACCGGAUAAGUCUUUACGGAGAAAGCUUUAUGCACCAUUGGAUGAGCCUGCACUUGAUUAGUUUGUUGGUGGGGUAAUGGCCUACCAAGACUGUGAUCAAUAGCUGAUUUGAGAGGAUGAUCAGCCACAUUGGGACUGAGACACGGCCCAAACUCCUACGGGAGGCAGCAGUGGGGAAUCUUGCACAAUGGAGGAAACUCUGAUGCAGCGAUGCCGCGUGAGUGAAGAAGGCCUUUGGGUUGUAAAGCUCUUUCGUCGGGGAAGAAAAUGACUGUACCCGAAUAAGAAGGUCCGGCUAACUUCGUGCCAGCAGCCGCGGUAAUACGAAGGGACCUAGCGUAGUUCGGAAUUACUGGGCUUAAAGAGUUCGUAGGUGGUUGAAAAAGUUAGUGGUGAAAUCCCAGAGCUUAACUCUGGAACUGCCAUUAAAACUUUUCAGCUAGAGUAUGAUAGAGGAAAGCAGAAUUUCUAGUGUAGAGGUGAAAUUCGUAGAUAUUAGAAAGAAUACCAAUUGCGAAGGCAGCUUUCUGGAUCAUUACUGACACUGAGGAACGAAAGCAUGGGUAGCGAAGAGGAUUAGAUACCCUCGUAGUCCAUGCCGUAAACGAUGUGUGUUAGACGUUGGAAAUUUGUUUUCAGUGUCGCAGCGAAAGCGAUAAACACACCGCCUGGGGAGUACGACCGCAAGGUUAAAACUCAAAUGAAUUGACGGGGACCCGCACAAGUAGUGGAGCAUGUGGUUUAAUUCGAAGAUACGCGCAGAGCCUUACCAACACUUGACAUGUUCGUCGCGACUCUAAGAGAUUAGAGUUUUCGGUUCGGCCGGACGAAACACAGGUGCUGCAUGGCUGUCGUCAGCUCGUGUCGUGAGAUGUUGGGUUAAGUCCCGCAACGAGCGCAACCCUCACUUUUAGUUGCCAUCAUUAAGUUGGGCACUCUGAAAGAACUGCCAGUGAUAAGCUGGAGGAAGGUGGGGAUGACGUCAAGUCCUCAUGGCCCUUACGUGUUGGGCUACACACGUGCUACAAUGGUAUCUACAACAGGAAGCAAGACUGCGAGGUCAAGCAAAUCCUUAAAAGAUACCUCAGUUCGGAUUGCACUCUGCAACUCGAGUGCAUGAAGCUGGAAUUACUAGUAAUCGUGGAUCAGCGUGCCACGGUGAAUGCGUUCCCGGGUCUUGUACACACCGCCCGUCACACCAUGGGAGUUGGUUCUACCUUAAGGCAAGGUUUAAAACCCUUGACCACGGUAUAGUCAGCGACUGGGGUGAAGUCGUAACAAGGUAACCAAGGG
rnacentral:rRNA from 1 species